rnacentral:rRNA from 1 species
AUUGAACGCUGGCGGCAGGCCUCACACAUGCAAUUCGAGCGAGCGGCGGACGGGUGAGUAAUGUAUGGGGAUCUGCCCGAUAGAGGGGGAUAACUACUGGAAACGGUGGCUAAUACCGCAUACUAUCGGAUGAACCCAUAUGGGAUUAGCUCGUAAGGGGGGUAAAGGCUCACCUAGGCGACGAUCUCUAGCUGGUCUGAGAGGAUGAUCAGCGACACUGCGACUGAGACACGGCCCAGAAGCCUACGGGAGGCAGAAGUGGGGAAUAUUGAAAAAUGGGCGCAAGCGUGAUGCAGCCAUGCAGCGUGUAUGAAGAAGGCCUGAGGGUUGUAAAGUACUUUCAGCGGGGAGGAGUUACCCGCAGAAGAAGCACCGGCUAACGCCGUGCCAGCAGCCGCGGUAAUUC